GUACAAACGCAUUUAAAUAUGUAUAUAACAGUACUGACGUAUACAUCUAUUUAUUUAUCAUACCCAUACCUUAUUUUUAAAAGGAGAGUUAGUUAAGCAAAACAGAUACUCAUCCACAUAUCAAAAAUAAUAUUACUUGUUUUAAUUAUUAAUUAAAUUGUGAGUAUACAUAUAUAUAUAUAUAUAUAUAUGUAUGUACUUAUGUACUCAUAUUUACUACAUUAAUAAAAAAAAAUAAAAUAAAAUGAUUGGAACAAAAGCGAACAAAGUAAGUAACAAUUAUGUAACAAAAAAUGAUGAUAAUUUAUGUCAAUUAGAAAAAAAUAAUAAUAAAAUUAUAAAUGCCGGUAAAAUGCAAAUAAAAAGUUAUCCAAGUUUUAUAAACACAGAUAACAUAAAUAAAAAUAGAAACUUAUGUCAAGUUAGUGAAGAAAGGAAAUCAAAAAAGUUUAAUAAAAAAAAAAAAAGCGUAGAUAUAAAUAAUAGUAGCAAAGAUGUUGAUACAGCAGGAACAAAAUGUCAUGAACAAAAAAAAAACAAUGAAGAAGUGUUUAAUAAAAAAGAGAUUAUGCGACAAAGUAAACAAGGGUUAAAGCAGGAAUACAAACUAGGAAACAAAUUAAAACGUGAUGAUACCGUAUAUUAUUCAAACUCAUCUAAAGAUAAUAAAAAAAAAACAAAAUGGACGGAAGAACGUAAUUGCAAUUUAUCAAAAGAAUUAAUAAAAGAGAGUAAUAAAAAUCAAGCACAAAACGAAAAAUUUGUAGAACUUAAAAAAAAUAAUAUAAAAUUAUAUAAUAGAAAAGAUGAGUAUACAGUUACUAAUGAGAUUUUUAAAGAAGAUUCUAAUAUUAAUGCUAACAAAAAUACUAACUCUACUAAUAACCUAAACUUUAACACAAAACUUAAUACUUACUCUAAUACUUACACUCAUCUUAUGCUUAACCCAAAUAAUAACAAUAAUACUAACUCUAACUCUAACUCUAACUCUAACUCUAACUCUAACUCUAACUCUAAUAUUAACAUAAGCCCUUACCCUAAUACUAACUCUAACCCUAAUCCUAAUAUUAACUCUAACCCUAACCCUAACCCUAACCCUAACCCUAACCCUAACCCUAAUAUUAACUCUAACCCUAAUCCUAACUCUAAUACUAUCUCUAACUCUAACUCUAACUUUAACACUAACUCUAACUCUAACCCUAAUACUAACCCUAAUACUAACUCUAACCCUAAUACUAAUACUAACCAUAACACUAACCCUAACACUAAUAUUAACCCUAACACUAAUAUUAACCCUAAUACUAAUCCUAACACUAAUACUAACCCUAAUACUAAUCCUAACACUAAUACUAACCCUAAUACUAAUACUAACUCUAGUACUAACCCUAAUACUAAUACUAACCCUAAUACUAACCCUAACCCUAAUGCUAACCCUAACAUUAACACAAGCCCUAACACUAAUCCUAACACUAACUCUAACCCUAAUACUAAUACUAACCAUAACACUAAUAUUAACCCUAACACUAAUAUUAACCCUAAUACUAAUCCUAACCCUAAUACUAACCCUAACACUAACCCUAACAUUAACACUAACCCUAACACUAAUACUAACCCUAAUACUAACCCUAAUACUAACCCUAACAUUAACACUAACCCUAACACUAAUACUAACCCUAAUACUAACCCUAAUACUAACCCUAAUAUUAAUACAUACCCUAACCCUAAAACUAAUGCUAACCCUAACCCUAAAACUAACAAUAAUACUUACCAUAACACUAUCCCUAAUGAAAACUUAAUGGUAAGCCUAAAUGAAAGUAGGGACAAUCGCACAGACAAAGAAAUGAAACAGUACCAAUAUAAAAGUACAAAUACGCAUAAAGGUUUACAUAAUAAAACAACAUUUCAAUAUAAUAUAGAAAUAAAUGAAGGUAUAAAAAAUAAUGAUAAUGUAAAAAGUAAAAAAAAGAAAAUGAUUAAGAAUAGUGUUAUGUAUAAAAAGUAUAACAAAGAUAAUAAUGACGUGGAAACAAAUCAUAAUAGUAAUUAUGAUAAUGAUAUAUUAGAUACUUAUAUAUAUUAUAAUGUAAAUGUUAAUAAUAAUAACAAUAAUAAUAAUAAUAAUAAUAAUAAUAGUAAUAAUAAUAAUAAUAAUAAUAUAAAUAUAAAUAUGGAAAAAAAUUAUGUUAUUGAUCAAAAUAUAGUAGAAGAAAAAAACAAUAGCAGUAGGAACAAUAGUAACAGUACUAAAAGUAAAUUCUAUAAUAAUAAUAAUUAUACCGAUAAUAAUAGUAACAGUAAUAACAAUAGUAAUAAUGUGUUUGAGAACAUGUGCAAUAUGAAUAACAAUCUUGAGUUAUAUAAUUAUAGUAGUACCAAUACUACUAUUAAUAACACUAAUCAUAACGGUUAUAAUGGAAGUAAUAGUAACAUUAACUACCAUAGCAAUUACAACAGCAACUUCAACUACAACAGCAACUUCAACUACAACAGCAACUUCAACUACAACAACAACUUCAAUUACAAUAGUAACUACAGUAACAACUAUAGUGACAACUACAGUAAUAACUAUGGUGACAACUACAGCAACAGUUACGGCAACAACUAUAACAAUAGCAAUAGAAAUAAUAAUAGUGGAUAUUUGAGCAUUACACCAUUUCAGAAUGCUAUAAAUAUUAUGCAGUAUGGUAGCAGUAAUAAUAAUAAUAAUAAUAGUGAAAGUAACCAAUACAUGGAAAAACAUUAUUAUAAUAAUAACAAUAAAAUAAAUGUUUUACCUAUGACCUAUAUGAUAAAAAACUGGUUAUUUAAUAAUACUACACCUAUUAAUAAUAUAAAUAAUACGGAAGGAGAGUUUAUAUUUUCUGCAAAUUGGAGUCCACAUAUUUUGAAUAUGGGAAAUUGUGCAAUAAAAAACAAUAGCAACAUGAAUAAUAACAACAUUGGUAAUAGUAUGAUGUGUUAUAAUAGUGUGAGUAAUAAUAUUAUGUGCUAUAAUCCUAUAGAUUAUGUUUUUACUACUCAUAACACUAAGAAUAAUAUUACUACUAAUAAUAACGUACAUUAUAACAGUAUAAGUAACAAUGUUAUAAGUAGUAAUAAUAUAACUAGUGAUAAUACAACUAGUGGUAAUACAACUAGUGGUAAUACAACUAGUGGUAAUACAACUAGUGGUAAUAUAACUAGUAGUAACAUAACUAGUAGUAACAUAACUAGUAGUAACAUAACUAGUAGUAACAUAACUAGUAAUAAUAUAACUAGUAAUAAUAUAACUAGUAAUAAUAAUAAAAAAAUGAAGAAAGACAGUUUAAGAGUCCCUUAUAAUAUGG
ensembl:lncRNA